rnacentral:rRNA from 1 species
UACGGGGGGAGCAAGCGUUGUUCGGAUUUACUGGGCGUAAAGGGCGCGUAGGCGGUCAGCACAAGUCAGUUGUGAAAUCUCCGAGCUUAACUCGGAAAGGUCAACUGAUACUGUGCGACUAGAGUGCAGAAGGGGCAACUGGAAUUCCUGGUGUAGCGGUGAAAUGCGCAGAUAUCAGGAGGAACACCGGUGGCGAAGGCGACUACCUGGCCUAAGACUGACGCUGAGGUGCGAAAGCGUGGGGAGCGAACGGG